rnacentral:rRNA from 1 species
UAGGGAAUCUUCCACAAUGGACGCAAGUCUGAUGGAGCAACGCCGCGUGAGUGAAGAAGGUUUUCGGACCGUAAAGCUCUGUUGUUGGUGAAGAAGGAUAGAGGUAGUAACUGGCCUUUAUUUGACGGUAAUCAACCAGAAAGUCACGGCUAACUACGUGCCAGCAGCCGCGGUAAUCGUAGGUGGCAAGCGUUGUCCGGAUUUAUUGGGCGUAAAGCGAGCGCAGGCGGAAGAAUAAGUCUGAUGUGAAAGCCCUCGGCUUAACCGAGGAAUUGCAUCGGAAACUGUUUUCUUGAGUGCAGAAGAGGAGAGUAGAACUCCAUGUGUAGCGGUGGAAUGCGUAGAUAUAUGGAAGAAUACCAGUGGCGAAGGCGGCUCUCUGGUCUGCAACUGACGCUGAGGCUCGAAAGCAUGGGUAGCGAACAGGAUUAGAUACCCUGGUAGUCCAUGCCGUAAACGAUGAGUGCUAAGUGUUGGGAGGCUUCCGCCUCUCAGUGCUGCAGCUAACGCAUUAAGCACUCCGCCUGGGGGAGUACGACCGCAAGGUUGAAACUCA